GGAGAGGUGCUGGAGCGGUUUAACAGGCACGCCUGGAAAGUGUGUGUACCAGCAAUGGUACCGUGGGUUCGAAUCCCACCCUCUCCG
rnacentral:tRNA from 2 species